AGGGCAAGUCUGGUGCCAGCAGCCGCGGUAAUUCCAGCUCCAAUAGCGUAUAUUAAAGUUGUUGCAGUUAAAAAGCUCGUAGUUGAAUUUCGGGGUUCUACCGUUGGUCGGGCUUUGUCUGUACUGGCGUGUAGAAUUUCUACCUUCUGGGGAACCAUUAUGUUAUUAAUUUAGCGUAGUGGGAAACCAGGACCUUUACCUUGAAAAAAUUAGAGUGUUCAAAGCAGGCUUAUGUCUGAAUACAUUAGCAUGGAAUAAUAGAAUAGGACGGUGGUCCUGUUUUGUUGGUUUCUGAAUCACCGUAAUGAUUAAUAGGGAUAGUUGGGGGCAUUAGUAUUCAAUUGUCAGAGGUGAAAUUCUUGGAUUGAUUGAAGACUAACUACUGCGAAAGCAUUUGCCAAGGAUGUUUUCAUUAAUCAGUGAACGAAAGUUAGGGGAUCGAAGACGAUCAGAUACCGUCGUAGUCUUAACCAUAAACUAUGCCGACUAGGGAUCGGACGAUGUUAAUUUUUCUUGACUCGUUCGGCGCCUUACGGGAA
rnacentral:rRNA from 1 species